rnacentral:rRNA from 1 species
CCUACGGGGGGCAGCAGUGGGGAAUAUUGGACAAUGGGCGAAAGCCUGAUCCAGCCAUGCCGCGUGUGUGAAGAAGGCCUCGGGUUGUAAAGCACUUUCAGUGGGGAAGAAAGCCUUGGGGCUAAUACCCUCGAGGAAGGACAUCACCCACAGAAGAAGCACCGGCUAACUCCGUGCCAGCAGCCGCGGUAAUACGGAGGGUGCGAGCGUUAAUCGGAAUUACUGGGCGUAAAGCGCGCGUAGGCGGUCUGAUAAGCCGGUUGUGAAAGCCCCGGGCUCAACCUGGGAACGGCAUCCGGAACUGUCAGGCUAGAGUGCAGGAGAGGAAGGUAGAAUUCCCGGUGUAGCGGUGAAAUGCGUAGAGAUCGGGAGGAAUACCAGUGGCGAAGGCGGCCUUCUGGACUGACACUGACGCUGAGGUGCGAAAGCGUGGGUAGCAAACAGGAUUAGAUACCCGGGUAGUC